UAACGGAGGGUGCAAGGCGUUGUCCGGAUUUAUUGGGUUUAAAGGGUGCGUAGGUGGUUUUCUAAGUCUGGUUUGAAAGCUGGUGGCUUAACCAUCAGAUGUGGCUGGAAACUGGAGGACUUGAAUGCGUUGGCGGUAGCCGGGAACGGGUCAUGUAGCGGUGAAAUGCAUAGGAUAUGACCCAGAACACCGAUUGCGAAGGCAGGCUACUACGACGUGAUUGACACUGAGGCACGAGAGCAUGGGUAGCGAAACGGG
rnacentral:rRNA from 1 species